rnacentral:rRNA from 1 species
AGAGUUGAUUAUGGCUCAGGACGAACGCUGCGGCGUGCUUCAUACAUGCAAGUCGAACGAGAAACUAACUCGGUUAGUGGAAAGUGGCGGACGGGUGAGUAAUAUGUAGAGAAUCUGCCCUGGAGAGGGGGACAACAGAGGGAAACUUCUGCUAAUACCCCAUAUGAGCGUAGUUGUGAUACUAUUCUUGAAAGAUUUAUCGCUCCGGGAUGAGUCUGCAUCUGAUUAGCUAGUUGGGGGUGUAAUGGACCACCAAGGCGACGAUCAGUAGCUGGUUUGAGAGGAUGAUCAGCCACAAUGGGACUGAGACACGGCCCAUACUCCUACGGGAGGCAGCAGUAGGGAAUUUUGCGCAAUGGGCGAAAGCCUGAACCGCAGCAACGCCGCGUGAUCGUAGACGCCCUUCGGGGUGUAAAGAUCUGUCAGUAGGGACGAACAAUGACUGUACCUACAGAGGAAGCACCGGCUAACUCCGUGCCAGCCGCCGC